ACGAACGCUGGCGGCGUGCUUAACACAUGCAAGUCGAACGGAAAGGCCCUGCUUUUGUGGGGUGCUCGAGUGGCGAACGGGUGAGUAACACGUGAGUAACCUGCCCUUGACUUUGGGAUAACUUCAGGAAACUGGGGCUAAUACCGGAUAGGAGCUCCUGCUGCAUGGUGGGGGUUGGAAAAUUUCGGCGGUUGGGGAUGGACUCGCGGCUUAUCAGCUUGUUGGUGGGGUAGUGGCUUACCAAGGCUUUGACGGGUAGCCGGCCUGAGAGGGUGACCGGCCACAUUGGGACUGAGAUACGGCCCAGACUCCUACGGGAGGCAGCAGUGGGGAAUAUUGCACAAUGGGCGGAAGCCUGAUGCAGCAACGCCGCGUGCGGGAUGACGGCCUUCGGGUUGUAAACCGCUUUCGCCUGUGACGAAGCGUGAGUGACGGUAAUGGGUAAAGAAGCACCGGCUAACUACGUG
rnacentral:rRNA from 1 species